GUGGCUCAAUGGUAGAGCAUCUGCUUUGGAUGCACAUGGUUCCAGGUUCUAUCCCUGGCAUCUGCU
rnacentral:tRNA from 1 species